rnacentral:rRNA from 1 species
CACACUGCAUGGUGUGUUGGGAAAGCCUUUGCGGCAUGGGAUGGGGUCGCGUCCUAUCAGCUUGAUGGCGGGGUAACGGCCCACCAUGGCUUCGACGGGUAGCCGGCCUGAGAGGGCGACCGGCCACAUUGGGACUGAGAUACGGCCCAGACUCCUACGGGAGGCAGCAGUGGGGAAUAUUGCACAAUGGGCGCAAGCCUGAUGCAGCGACGCCGCGUGAGGGAUGGAGGCCUUCGGGUUGUAAACCUCUUUUGUUAGGGAGCAAGGCAUUUUGUGUUGAGUGUACCUUUCGAAUAAGCACCGGCUAACUACGUGCCAGCAGCCGCGGUAAUACGUAGGGUGCAAGCGUUAUCCGGAAUUAUUGGGCGUAAAGGGCUCGUAGGCGGUUCGUCGCGUCCGGUGUGAAAGUCCAUCGCUUAACGGUGGAUCCGCGCCGGGUACGGGCGGGCUUGAGUGCGGUAGGGGAGACUGGAAUUCCCGGUGUAACGGUGGAAUGUGUAGAUAUCGG